rnacentral:rRNA from 1 species
UACGGAGGGGGCUAGCGUUGUUCGGAAUUACUGGGCGUAAAGGGCGUGUAGGCGGCGGAUUUAGUUAGGCGUGAAAGCCCCGGGCUCAACCUGGGAACUGCGCUUAAUACUGAUCUGCUAGAGUCCGGGAGAGGCGAGUGGAAUAUCCAGUGUAGAGGUGAAAUUCGUAGAUAUUGGAUGGAACACCAGUGGCGAAGGCG